AUACGGAAGGUCCGGGCGUUAUCCGGAUUUAUUGGGUUUAAAGGGAGCGCAGGCGGAGAUGCAAGCGUGACGUCAAAUUUCGGGGCUCAACCCCGUCUCGCGUCGCGAACUGCGUCCCUUGGUUGCGGGAAGGGGAGGCGGAACUCGUGGUGUAGCGGUGAAAUGCAUAGAUAUCACGAAGAACUCCGAUCGCGAAGGCAGCCUUCCGGCCCGUCAACGACGCUCAUGCUCGAAGGUGCGGGUAUCAAGCAGGAUUAGAUACCCUGGUAGUCCGCACAGUAAACGAUGGACACCCGCGGUUUGGCCUGUAUGGCUGGGCCGCCAAGCGAAAGCGUUAAGUGUCCCACCUGGGGAGUACGCCGGCAACGGUGAAACUCAAAGGAAUUGACGGGG
rnacentral:rRNA from 1 species